rnacentral:tRNA from 1 species
GAAAGAGGCGUGCAGCAACGGUAGCUGCUAACUACCGCACCCCUGGUUGGACUCCAGGGCUCAUUCA